AGGGUGUAAACGCUGCAGACUUGGUGUUGGAAGUCCUUUGGGGGCAUUCAGUGCCGGAGAGAAGUUGUUAAGUCUGCUACUUGGGGAGUACGUCCGCAAGGAUGAAACUUAAAGGAAUUGGCGGGGGAGCACCGCAACGGGAGGAGCGUGCGGUUUAAUUGGAUUCAACGCCGGAAAACUCACCGGGGGCGACAGCAAUAUGUAGGUCAAGCUAAAGACUUUACCAGAAUCGCUGAGAGGAGGUGCAUGGCGUAGUCGUGU
rnacentral:rRNA from 1 species